rnacentral:lncRNA from 1 species
AGUUGUGGCCGCGACUGCCCGGGAGUGGCGCUUGCCGCGGUCCGGGCUUGCACCCCGCUGGGCAAAGUACCCGGGGCUGUCACACGGCGAGCUGAGCCCUGGGCCGGCGGAACAGCAAGCCAUUGGAGAGUCCUGAGCAGAGAAAGGACUGACCUGCCUCAUGUUUUAAAUCUGGCUGCCGUAUUGGAAGUAGAUUGGAGGAAAAAAAAGUGGAAGCCCUGGGACCCACCAUCAUGAACAAUCGGGGAGAAGACAAGAGGCCAGCAAAGGAAUGAACACAGGGACGCAUGAGACAUUUGGUGCCGAAGACCUGGGUCAGCGGGACUCCUUUGGGAGACCAGUCCCCCAUCCUCACCCUCACUCUGUGAAGAGAUCCACCUACGACCUUGGGUCCUCAGACCAACCAGCCUAAGGAACAUCUCACCUAUUUUAAAUCGGGAAUGUCAGGCCUCUGAACCCAAGCUAAGCCAUCAUAUCCCCUGUGACCUGCAUUUAUACAUCCAGAUGGCCUGAAGCAAAUGAAGAUCCACAAAAGAAGUAAAAAUAGCCUUAACUGAUGACAUUCCACCAUUGUCAUCUGCCCUACCCUAACUGAGAAGAUAUAUUCUCCCCCGCCCUUAAGAAGGUACUUUGUAUGCCUAUCCCAAACCUAUAAGAACUAAUGAUAAUCCCAGCGCCCUUUGAUGACUCUUUUUUCUGACUCAGCCCACCUGUACCCAGGUGAAAUAAACAGCCUUGUUGCUCACACAAAGCCUGUUUGGUGGUCUCUUCGCAAGGACGCAUGAGACAGCAUUUACUAUGCUAUUGAGAUUGCCUGUUGAACCUUUCUGCCUCCUCCAACAGAGAAUAAGUUUAUUGAAGGCAGAGAAUAUUUAUCCUUCACGCAGAACUUGAAAAAACAGUUAUAAUUUUUUAUUUUUUGAGACAGAGUCUUGCUCUGUUGCCCAGGCUGGAGUGCAAUGGCACCACCUCAGCUCACUGCAACCUCUGCCUCCCGGAUUCAAGCAAUUUUCCUGCCUCAGCC